GCCGGCAUCACGUUGAAGCAGGCCGCACUAGAACACUCUAAUAAUCCUCCAUUAUUUACGCAUCGUCAUCCUCCUCCUCUUAAUCAUCCUCUUAAUCAUUCUUUUUUAAUUGUAAUCUCCGUCUCAUUAUUUUAAAAAAAAGUUAUUACUCCAUGUUCUCUCAAUAAUUGUAAACCCCUCUGAAUUUAUCACCUUCUCAUGAACAAUUUUACUUAUUCUCCAGAGCCGGUUUUGAGGUAGAUAUUAUGGCAUAUGAUCAAACCCUCCAAGUGCGGUCUAUUACUACUGCAGAUGUUUCUCUUGGGCAGCAUGUCAAACCAGUUUCAGAUGCUACAACUUCAGAGAAUUUGAAUGGUUAUUUUGAUUGUAAUAUAUGUUUAGACACAGCACGUGAUCCUGUCGUUACGCUCUGCGGUCAUUUGUACUGCUGGCCUUGCAUUUAUAAGUGGCUUCAUGUCGUACGCUCUUCCCUGGAAUCAGAUAAGCAACCAGAUUGCCCUGUCUGUAAGGCUAGAAUCUCAGAGACCUCACUAGUUCCAUUGUAUGGUCGGGGUGAUACACGUUCUGAUCCGGAUGCAAAACAGCCCCUACCCCGUAGACCUCCUGGUGUUAGGGCGGAAACAAUGGCACAGGAGCAAUCUCAGUCUAGUCCUCUUGAGCCACAUCAGCAGCCAUUUCAUCCCCAGCAUUACUUUUCUCAUCCUCUGGCCAACUACCCCACCUUGUCUCCUCCAAAUAUUGUGACUGCUGGCAUGAUCAGUCCUACUGUUGGGAUGUUCGGGGAGAUGGUCUACGCUAGGAUAUUUGGUAGCUCAGACACAAGCUUAUUUUCUUAUCCGCAUGCUUAUCCUCUUGUUCAUAAUAGCAGCCCGAACCCGAGAAUAAGAAGGCAAGAACUGCAGGUAGACAAGUCCCUCAGCAGAGUAUCUAUGUUUCUUUUGUGCUGCUUAAUUCUGUGCCUUCUUUUAUUUUGAAAGGUAUAUUGGGUGGCUGUACAGCGUACAUGUACAUUAUUGCCUCAUUGACACUUGUGAACACAAGUAUAAUCUUUGCAGUAUUGCAGGAAAUAUAUCCUAUGAAAUAUGCUCUAAUUUUCAACUUUAUUAAAA